rnacentral:tRNA from 1 species
GGGAAUGUGGCUUAGUGGUACAGUGCUUGCCUAGCAUGCAUGAGGCUGCCCUGGGUUCCAUUCCUCAGUAUUACCC